rnacentral:misc_RNA from 1 species
AGCAGCCGCGGUAAUUCCAGCUCCAAUAGCGUAUAUUAAAGUUGUUGCAGUUAAAAAGCUCGUAGUUGAAUUUCGGGAUUGACGUGAUGGUCGUGCCUUACGGGGUAUGAACUGUUGCUGUUGAUUUCUCACCUUCUGGAGAAACUUGAUGUCCUUAAUUGGGUGUCUUGCGGAUCCAGGACCUUUACCUUGAAAAAAUUUAGAGUGUUUAAAGCAGGCAUUUUGCUCGAAUACAUUAGCAUGGAAUAAUAGAAUAGGACGGCAUGGUUCUAUUUUGUUGGUUUCUAGGAUCACCGUAAUGAUUAAUAGGGAUAGUUGGGGGGCAUUAGUAUUCAAUUGUCAGAGGUGAAAUUCUUGGAUUAUUGGAAGACUAACUACUGCGAAAGCAUUUGCCAAGGAUGUUUUCAUUAAUCAAAGAACGAAAGUUAGGGGAUCGAAGACGAUCAGAUACCGUCGUAGUCUUAACCAUAAACUAUGCCGACUAGGAAUCAGACGAUG